rnacentral:rRNA from 1 species
GUAGUCAUAUGCUUGUCUCAAAGAUUAAGCCAUGCAUGUCUAAGUAUAAGCAAUUAUACCGUGAAACUGCGAAUGGCUCAUUAAAUCAGUUAUCGUUUAUUUGAUAGUACCUUACUACUUGGAUAACCGUGGUAAUUCUAGAGCUAAUACAUGCUGAAAACCCCGACUUCGGAAGGGGUGUAUUUAUUAGAUAAAAAACCAAUGCCCUUCGGGGCUCUUUGGUGAUUCAUGAUAACUUUUCAGAUCGCAUGGCCUUGCGCCGGCGACGGUUCAUUCAAAUUUCUGCCCUAUCAACUUUCGAUGGUAAGGUAUUGGCUUACCAUGGUUUCAACGGGUAACGGGGAAUGGGGCGGGGGCGGCGGGCCGGGCGCGGGGCGCGGCGGGCG